rnacentral:lncRNA from 1 species
GGGCAGAGGGUCAUGUAGUGGAAUAGAGCUGUACCUGGCUUCAGGCGAGACUUGGAGCUCAAAACUUUCAGUAGGACAGCCAGGCGCGGUGGCUGAUGCCUGUAAUCCCAGCACUUUGGGAGGCCGAGGUGGGCGGAUCACGAGAUUCUUGUGCUGUCACUCAGGCUGGAGUGCAACGUUGAAAUCUCGGCUCACUGCAACUUCUGCCUCCCGGAUUCAGGCAAUUCUUGUGUCUCAGCCUCCUAAGAAGCUGAGAUUACAGCAACUCCAAAAUGGAAGUACUAUUGUUAUCUCCGUUUACAAAUUAGGAAACUGAGGCACAGAUAUGCUCUUGGGUACUUGUCAGCAGCAGUUGUUCUACAAAUGAGCGUCUUAGCCUCUGGAUUACUGCUCAAUGAGGAAAGCUAUGAAAUGCAUGGAUAACUUGCUAAUCAGUAUUUGCCAUAUGUGCUAGCAGCAUCAGCAUCAGUUGGGAGAUUAUGGUGGCCUCCAUGUCAGACCUCCUAAAUCGGAAUAUCAGAGAAGGUGGCCCAGGUUACCAUGCUUCAUCUGCCAAUGCAUUGAAAACUUGGAAUGUAAAUUAAUUCAACCAUUGUGGAAGAUGGUGUAGUGAUUCCUCAAAGACCUAGAAGCAGAAAUAUCAUUUGAUCCAGAAAUCCCAUUACUGUGUAUACACCCAAAGGAAUAUAAACCAUUCUAUUACAAAG